GCCCGAGUGGUGAAAUUGGUAGACGCGACGGAUUCAAAAUCCGUUUUCGAAAGAAGUGCCGGUUCAAGUCCGGCCUCGGGCA
rnacentral:tRNA from 1 species